rnacentral:lncRNA from 1 species
CUUCAUCAACCAUCAACCCAAUCGCCUUCCAUCUUCAACACCUUCGAAUCAUUUCCACAAAACCCACGCAAAUCCGCUCAGAAUCGCACCACCAUCAAAACCCUCAUCUCACUCGACUCUACCACCAGCAUCACCAUCCAACAAAUCCGCCGCUUCACAUCAUUUUCAUCGCCGUAAUGGAAAUCACCCUUCGUUAAUGCCAAACCCUCUAAUCCGACCAUUCAAAUCAACCUUCACCUUCACAGUG